UGGGCAGGGGACAGGAGGACUCAGGUGCCUCCACUCGCCUUGCUGUGGCCUAACCAUUGGGCUGAGUUGGCGUCUGAGGUGAGAGAACCUGGCAGCAGCCGUGGGGGUCACCCCAACCUCCGGACCUCGCAUCUGUUCCUGGACAUGCUUCGCUGCAGCUAAGCUCUGGCUCUCUCAGAGAUGUGGGGGGCUGGGCCUUCCCUGGCACUUAGCCCCCGAGAGCUCUUAGCCCCAAAGAUGUGUGGUGCAGGCUGCUGUGACUCCCAGGGGGGCCAGGCUACAGCAUGAGGGGAGAGGAGCUCCUCCAGGACUUCAGUGAUAGCAGGGCACAGGCCCAGAGUAGGUGUGGCUGUGGGCGCCUGGGCCCCGGGAUGUGCCUGGCUCUUUCAGAAUCACCGGGCCAGGACAGUGGAGGCUCAGAGUUCCUGGACCCCUUCUGGAGUGACCAGAGUGCUUGGGGCAGUUUCUGAGCCCCAUUGUUGUGCAGUAAAAACCUGCUUCCAGGAAAUGAGCUCAGCCCCUGGGCCUGGCUCUGGGUGGCCCUGACCUUCCCCUCAGCACCCCGAGACCUGUGUGUCUGGCAUCCUCAGCGUGCCUACGGCGCCGUCCGGGCAGUGGGAGAGCUGCCUUCGUGCCUGGGGUGAGGGCUCAGAUGGGGCACUGAGGGCUCCCGGGGCGGCUCCCGGGCCUGUGGUCACACUGCACUCGGGAAGUAGUGCCCGGGGCUCGCUGGCGCGGCGUUGGUGGUCUCGGGUACUGCUGGCACCCACCCUCCCGAGUGCUUGGGCAAGGCUCAUGUUCUGUGAGAACUGGGUCCCCCUCGUGUGUCUAGCGGAACUGCCUUUCUUUGCCAACAGUCCCCGAGGUCCUGCAGCUCAGCGACAGCCUGCGCGACGACGUCCUGCCCGAGCUCGGGGUGCGGUUUGAAGACCACGAAGGACUGCCAACGGUGGUCAAACUGGUAGACAGAGACACCUUACUGAAAGAGAGAGAAGAAAAGAAAAGGGUUGAAGAGGAGAAGAGGAAGAAGAAAGAGGAGGCAGCCCGGAGAAAACAAGAGCAAGAAGCGGCAAAGCUGGCCAGGAUGAAGGUUCCCCCCAGCGAGAUGUUCUUGUCAGAGACUGACAAAUACUCCAAAUUUGAUGAAAAUGGUCUUCCCACGCACGACACGGAAGGCAAAGAGCUGAGCAAAGGGCAAGCCAAGAAGCUGAAGAAGCUCUUCGAAGCGCAGGAGAAGCUGCACAAGGAGUAUCUGCAGCUGGUUCAGAACGGAAGCUGCCCGUGAGCAGGUGUGGGACUGACGCUUUACCUGAGCCGUCGCGGGCCGCGGCUCCUCUGCCUCAGUGCCAACACCCCAGCGCUCUGGUCAUGUUUACAUUGUCCGCGGGUCCUAGCUUAAGAGCUGUGUUCGUGUGGGUUCGUGCCGUCGGCAGCUCUGAGACACAAUAAAUUCUUCUAAACAGUGA